UGUGACUUUGGGGGAAGAGAAGAGGUGAGUAACAACUGAGGUCCUGCCAGUGAGCUUGCUGGUGGUUGACCCAGAAUUGACAAGGAGGCCUGAGGGGAAAGGAAGAUUGAAACAGAGGUCUGAAAGGGGACUGACCUGGGCAUCUCCUGAAAGAACCUGUUCCGUUUUGUCCGUGUCUUCCUAAAAGAGCGUGAAGCAAGAAGGAAAAAUAGUUCUAUCCAGUUCCAAGGGCAGAUGAACAUUUGAAGAUGGAGCUGUAGACGUGGCACAAUGAAAAGGGCACCAGACAUUUAGCCAGAAGACUCGUCUCUACCACUCACUCCUUAUGCUGACUGUGGGCAAAUCACUUAAUCUCUGAGAAUUUCAGUUCAGCCUAGAUCGUCAACAAAACAAUAAAUCAAACCCUGAUGUGUAACAUUCGUGGAUUCCUAUAGAUCCUGAGAUGUUAAUGGUCACACUGAAAAUUUAACAACCAGUUCUCCCCAGCCAGUAAGACCAGGCUCCAGCACACCCUUGUACCAGAAGGUAUCACCCCAAGCAUCCUCUAAAGACUCUGCAGAUGAGGAAAUGGAAGCCCCGAAGGUCUUACCCAAGCUCACAUGACCAGGCUGGCUAAGGCGGAACUGAGACCAAGGUUUCUGGAUUCCCAGUCCAAGGUUCUCAUACUAAAGGGCAUCCUGUGAGCCUCUGUGUCCUUUUAUUUGAGCCUACCAUUUUUCUUAAAGAACUCCCACUGGCUUUGCCUGAUUUGAAUCUUCACCUUGGUAUUUGGUCUAAUCCAGCAUCAAGAAAGUUGGCUUUCCAAUUUAACUCUUUUGGUCUCUCUCAGCAUGUGGCUUCUGAAACAAAUUUUUCAUACCACCAUUCAGGUCACAUUCUUGACCUUGUUGUUUCAGGUGCCUGAUAAUUCCAGGCAAGUGAUUUGGACUCCCAUGCACACUGAUUUUCUUUUCUUUUCUGGUCACUCAGUCAUCGCCUUUCUUUCUUUUCUUUUAUCACACUUUUCACUGUUCCUUGAAGGCUGCAUUCAUUCCCUGCUGCUGUCACUGACUGGCCUCUAUAAAUUGCCUUUCUGUUCUAUCUCACCCUCUCCUAUCAAAGGUCUCGAUAUAAUUGUCUCUGGUGUGCUCAGAUAGUUUUUAUUUUUAUUUUUAUUUUAGCCCUGAGUGCUUUCAUUUUUGUAAACAUUUAAAUGAUGAAGAUGAGGGCUCCCAGACAAUUAUGUUCAUUUUUAAAUGAUUCUCUAAACUAUUGCUACUUUGUAGUCUGGCUAAGAAAAAUUUCUGGGGUCCUCCAAAAAUGCCCUUAACUCCCCAAAAUGUGCUUUGGGCUAAGCCACGUUCUUAGAAUCAUAGACUUUUGUGAUGAAAAUACUUCUUAAUCAUUGCACUCCCACUGUCUUCCUUACCACAGCCUCUAUUUUCUACCUGUUUUGAAGAAUGAAGGAAAUAACUUUUUCUUUUUUCAAACAGUCAAUAAACAAGCAUUUCUUGACUAUGCUCUGUGCUAGACAAGUUGUAAGGAAAAGGGAGGAAGUGCCUUCUGAUCUGGAGAACAUGACAGUUUAGUUGAAAGAGACAAGUCUAACAUACAGUGGGUAAAUUCUGAAUGAAGCAGAGGAGUAGAUGCUAAAUUGUGAAGUGAAGAUGAGAAGUAAGUGCUGUAAGAGUUCAGAGAAAAGAAGUUAUCAGUGAAAGGCAAAGUAGUCGGAGAAGGCUCCUUCGAGGAGGUAUACCUUGAGAGGAGUCUGAAGAUUUGUAGGGUUUGGAUAGGAGCUCCUUGGAGCUUUUGACCUCUGAGCCCUUCAGUUUGGGGUGGGCUUACUGGAUUCAGAUCUUUCAUGAUUUGUUUUUUCUUUCACUGGCUUUUGUUUGGGUGAAGUGGCUGAGGCAGGAAGGGGAAUGUGUACUCUGGCUAUCUGAGAUCCAGGCCUGCUAGAUCUCCUCCUCAAGGGCCCAAGUUACUUUCCUUUAUUGCCAUUGACUUAAACCCUAGCCUGAAGUGUUUCCCCAAUUUAGGGAACCAGUAACUAGCACUCCAGUUCCAUUUAAUGAUUUUGGACCAGUUGGCUUUUACAAAGGAGUAUGACAGGAACAAACCUACAAGUAUUUUCUCCAAUAUUGGGGUGUAUAAUUUCCACUUCCCCAUACACUUAGGACUUCAGUCUUUGUGAGAUGAGUAGGGGCAGGAAUUGCACUGGUCCCAUCAAGUUCACUUAGAAAAAGCAUCUGUGGAUGAAUCUUCAGCUGGCCUCAGGGACCUAAGGUCACUCCCAAAGAUCACCUUGCUCUUUAGGGAAUUGAUGUGCUGGUUGUAAAACCUGGCCUAGAUUAUGAUUCUUGGAUUCUGCUAACUCCUGUCCCGACCCAGAUUGGAUACUCCACUCCUCACCCCCAGGAUGGAAAAGAAAAAAUGAAAGGACCAAGGAAGCCUUGUUUCUUGGGAACUAUAUGGCCUUAGAGGGGAAGAGGGCCCUGAGGCCUUUUACAGCAGUCACUCACUAGACCAAAAGGAGUUACUUUCUUCACAGAAUGUAAUAAAGAGGUAGCUGUAGCUGACUCAGGCCCUUUAGAAGGCUCCAACAACUCCAACUACACAGCCAAUAGAAAAAGGCUCCUUUCAACCACAAGGUGGGCCAACUGGAGUCAGUGAUAGAAUGUUAUCAAACAGUCUGGUCCCUCUAAGGCACUUCCCUCACAUAUCAUCAGGAUUCUCCUGUAAGCAACAAACAAGCAUCCUCUAUGUAGAAGUGGUCAAGGUAUGUACUAGACCCCUAUUAUACUUUUAUUAUUUUUUUAAUUAGGGCUUAAUAAACACUAAAUAAACUGAGCAUUUUCAUAUAUAAAGUAGAACAGAAAAGUAGAAUUGUACAUUAAACCAUGAGUCUCUAUUGUGGAUAGCUUGCCUUUCAUUUAGGUAUAUAAUAAAUUCAACAUGUUACUUUCAAAAUACAUCUCUUUGUCUAUGUUUCCUUCUGGUUUUCUUUCUGUUCUC